GGAAGAGAGGCAGAUGCUGGUUGGCUGCGCUUGUCUGGAAAGCAAGUGGCCCACGUGGUCCGAGGGUUCAAUUCCCUUCUCUUCCU
rnacentral:tRNA from 1 species